rnacentral:sRNA from 1 species
GCCAGGUGCGGUGGCGCAUGCCUGUAAUCCCAGUGGGGCUUGGGAGGCUGAGGCAGGAGGAUUACAAGUCAAAGCCAGCCUCAGCAAUGGUGAGGCCCUAAGCAACUCAGUGAGAGCGUGUCUCUU